CAGCAGCCGCGGGAAAACAGAGGGUGCGAGCGUUAAUCGGAUUUACUGGGCGUAAAGCGUGCGUAGGCGGCUAAUUGAGUCGGAUGUGAAAUCCCCGAGCUUAACUUGGGAAUUGCAUUCGAUACUGGUUAGCUAGAGUGUGGGAGAGGAUGGUAGAAUUCCAGGUGUAGCGGUGUAAUGCGUAGAGAUCUGGAGGAAUACCGAUGGCGAAGGCAGCCAUCUGGCCUAACACUGACGCUGAGGUACGAAAGCAUGGGGAGCAAACAGGAUUAGAUACCCGAGUAGUCCCUGUCUCUUAUAC
rnacentral:rRNA from 1 species